rnacentral:rRNA from 1 species
GGUGAGUAACACGUGAGUAACCUGCCCUUGACUCUGGGAUAACCUCCGGAAACGGAAGCUAAUACCGGAUACGACGUACGGAGGCAUCUCCUGUACGUGGAAAGAACUUCGGUCAAGGAUGGACUCGCGGCCUAUCAGGUAGUUGGUGAGGUAACGGCUCACCAAGCCUACGACGGGUAGCCGGCCUGAGAGGGUGACCGGCCACACUGGGACUGAGACACGGCCCAGACUCCUACGGGAGGCAGCAGUGGGGAAUAUUGCACAAUGGGCGCAAGCCUGAUGCAGCAACGCCGCGUGAGGGAUGACGGCCUUCGGGUUGUAAACCUCUUUUAGUAGGGAAGAAGCGAAAGUGACGGUACCUGCAGAAAAAGCACCGGCUAACUACGUGCCAGCAGCCGCGGUAAUACGUAGGGUGCGAGCGUUGUCCGGAAUUAUUGGGCGUAAAGAGCUCGUAGGCGGUCUGUCGCGUCUGCUGUGAAAACCCGAGGCUCAACCUCGGGCCUGCAGUGGGUACGGGCAGACUAGAGUGCGGUAGGGGAGAAUGGAAUUCCUGGUGUAGCGGUGGAAUGCGCAGAUAUCAGGAGGAACACCGAUGGCGAAGGCAGUUCUCUGGGCCGUAACUGACGCUGAGGAGCGAAAGCGUGGGGAGCGAACAGGAUUAGAUACCCUGGUAGUCCACGCCGUAAACGUUGGGCGCUAGAUGUGGGGACCAUUCCACGGUUUCCGUGUCGCAGCUAACGCAUUAAGCGCCCCGCCUGGGGAGUACGGCCGCAAGGCUAAAACUCAAAGGAAUUGACGGGGCCCGCACAAGCGGCGGAGCAUGCGGAUUAAUUCGAUGCAACGCGAAGAACCUUACCAAGGCUUGACAUACACGAGAACGCCCUAGAAAUAGGGAACUCUUUGGACACUCGUGAACAGGUGGUGCAUGGUUGUCGUCAGCUCGUGUCGUGAGAUGUUGGGUUAAGUCCCGCA